UGGGGGAUAUUGCACAAUGGGCGAAAGCCUGAUGCAGCGACGCCGCGUGGGGGAUGAAGGCCUUCGGGUUGUAAACUUCUUUUGCUCUGAACAAGGCAUGCUAAUGGGUGUGUUGAGUGUAGGGGUUGAUUAGCGCCGGCUAACUACGUGCCAGCAGCCGCGGUAAUACGUAGGGCGCGAGCGUUGUCCGGAAUUAUUGGGCGUAAAGGGCUUGUAGGUGGCUGGUUGCGUCUGUCGUGAAAGCUCAUGGCUUAACUGUGGGUUUGCGGUGGGUACGGGCUGGCUUGAGUGCAGUAGGGGAGGGUGGAAUUCCUGGUGUAGCGUUGGAAUGCGCAGAUAUCAGGAGGAAUACCGGUGGCGAAGGCGGGUCUCUGGGCUGUUACUGACACUGAGGAGCGAAAGCAUGGGGAGCGAACAGG
rnacentral:rRNA from 1 species